ensembl:lncRNA
UUUCACCUCUUUUUCUUCCAGCCCUGAGGGGACACUCAGAGUCCAGCUCCUGGUCCAUUGCCUCUUUCUCCUGGUAGAGAACUGGCCUGAAUUACCUUGUCUGUUGUGACCAGGAGUUUACAUGAAGAAUGAUUGACCAUGACCUUCCUACUUGAGAAACAGUGACCCUGGACUAUUCACCACAGGAGGCUUUGCUGCCUUCCUGGGCUUAUUUUCAUCACAAAGAGCCCCGUGUUGGCCGAGAACACAUCUGUCCUAGUCAUGGUGGGUGAGUAGUGCUAUCUUCAUAGAGUUACUCUCUUGGCUCAGUUUUUCUCCUGCCACAAGCAGAAGUAGCAAUUGUCAAGGAGUUAGGAGGUUUGGGGUCCAUCCUGGCUUUGCCACUUGCUUAUUUCUUGCCAUGGCUAAGGAAGUUACUCUUUCUUUUAGGUCUUUGCUUUUUUAAAAAAAGAUAGUUUAUCUGCAACAUGGGAUUAAGAAUCAGAUCUUCUAAGAUUAUCUGAGAAGAUAAUGCCUGAGUGCCUGAGACGAUGCCAGACUUGCUGCUUGACACGUUGAGAUGCUCAAAAAAGGGUUGAGGAAUGUUAAUCUGAACCAGUUUACAUGGCUGUAUUGAUGUAGUUGCGACUACUAGAAAAAUCUCCCAAAGAACAAUAGCUUGAAAAAGAGUUUAUGGAGUUCUCUGGUGGCUCAGUGGGUUAAGGAUCUGGCGUUGUCACUGCUGUGGCUCGGUUCACUGUUGGGGUGCAGGUUCGGUCUCUGGCCAAGAAAUUUCUUCAUGCUGUGGGCUCAGCCAAAAAAACCCAAACCAAAACAAUGAGUUUAUUUCUCUCUCAUGUAUCAGACAACUGAAGGCAGGUAGUUCGGGGCUGAGGUGGUGACUCCUCAUUUGUCUGGGCCUCCGACACCUUCCAUCCUACUGCUCCUUCAACCUUCAUGCGAGGAUGCUGCUCAGGCUCCAUCUGCAUCUCAGGCAGCAAGAGGAGGAGGGGCAGGAAAAGGCACCCCCUCCCAUUCAAGGGGACUUCUUGAUGGUUCCACUCAACAUGCUUUUGAUCCCCUGGACCAGACUUUGUGUCUGGCUUGCACAGAACUGCGGGAGAAGUGGGAACACAGAAGCCCUGAGCUGGCUGGAACUCAGCUACUUGUAAGGUUCUUUUUCUUUUCUUUUUUUCUUUUUGUCUUUUCUAGGGCUGCACCCAUGGCGUAUGGAGGUUCCCAGGCUAGGGGUCUAAUCGGAGCUGUAGCUGCCGGCGUAUGCCACAGCCACAGCAAUGCCGGAUCCUUAACCCACUGAGCGAGGCCAGGGAUCGAACCAACAACCUCAUGGUUCCUGAGCCAUGAUGGGAACUUCAUAAGGUUCUUUUUCUAAGGAAGACAAGGCAAAGGAAAAUGGUAGGCAACUGGCUGUUUCUGCCAGUGACCUUGACUGCAUCCUUCUUCCUCGUUGAACUUCAGUGUCCUCUUCCGUAGAAAUUGGUGGUGGUGGCAUUUUGGGUGGCAUAGUUCUUCCCUGUGCAGAACUGUUCUCAUGCAAUGCAGGGCAUUUAACAUCCCUGAGCCAUGCCUGUUAAAUGCCAGUAGUACCCCCAGGCAUUGUGACCCCCCUCAAACGACCCCCCCCCACUUCUCUACCUGUCCCUAGGGAACAAUGCUACUUCCUAUUGAAAAGCCUUGGACAAGACGAUUCUAAAGUCCUUCUAAGACAGGUGUUUGGUGAGAGCCUGUGAUUCUGUGAUGCUUGACUCUCAGUAACAUCUUGUGUCAAACAGGCAAGUGGUGGGGAGAGAAUGGGGAUGCAGAUGUUUACGUCUUCAGUUCUCCCCAGCUUUGGGAGGAGAAAGGAGUCAUUAUUCAGCUAGAGUCAAGGUCAUUGGCCUCCAGAUGGUCAGAGGAGGAGAAAGAACAGAGGAAGGAAGGAGCCAGGACAGGACUUUCCAAGGAAUGGCAGGAACCCAGAACACCUGGUCCCCUGGUCCUCACUGCCCCUCCCCAAGGCCCUUCACUGUGUCCCUGGCAGGAGAGAUGGAGGGAGAGCCAUCUUCAGAGAGGCUGGCAUGCUGGCCUCUGUCUGUCAUGAUGGCCUCAUUAGUGGCUCCCAUGUCCAUUGGCGGGACCUCAUCAGUGGGGCCCGCCUGACCUUUGGGGCAGCAGCUGCUGCAUCUGGCAGGGCUCAUCAAAGCCCAGGGGCACUGCCUCCUCUCCCGUGGGCUCUCAGACCCUUGCUGCCCAUGGUCCCUGCUGGGGGUGGCAAUUGGAUGAAUCAAGGGGGCGCUCAUGCCGGGGAUUCUGAUGGAGUCCAGGGGAGGAGGUAUGAAGCUCCAGAGUCAUGCUGCCUGAAAUCAAACCUCGUUCCCACACUUACUGAAUUGUGGAUGGGUCCUGACUUUGGACAAGACCUUUUCCUCUUGUUUGUUCCUUCAUCUGCACAAUGGAGAUGAUAAUAAUACCUGUCUCACGAGGUUGCCACGAGGCUUAAAUGAGACGAUGUGGGUAGAACAUGGAGAAGAGGGCCUAGCAUACAGUAGGCUCAGUAAGUGCUGGUCUUUGCUGUUCUGGGUGGAGCUCCACCUCUGUUUUUGUUCCUGGCUGGAGAUGUGGAUGCAUAUCAUAUAGCUUCCAGGGUUUAAACAACUUGCCCGAGGCUCCACCAUCAGCCAAACCUCAUGGUGAAGAGUGGUGUCCCCUAGGCAGUGGGGAGUGGACCAGCCGAGGCCACACAGCAAGCAGAGCCAGGCUGGGCUCCCUGAGUCUGGAGCUAAGAGAGCCCCCUGCCGCUGUGCUGACAGAGAUGCAGAUGCAGGCUUGCAAUGUUGCCUUCAGCCUCAACUCAGAAUCUGUGCUGGGGUUGGAGCUGCCCAGGCCACAGGCAGGGAGGUGGGGAGGGUCCAGAAAGGCCCCCUGAGUUAGCCAGCAGCUCAGGCCUGAGUCUCUCAUUGCUGGGGAUUGUCAAGCGGGUCUUGGUGGCCAGGUGGGCGGGUCUGGGCACAUAGGAGGCCCACAGAACCACUGCUCCACCACGCCUGCUCCUGCCCAUCCCUGCUCACCAGCCCUGGGGUGGGGGGAGGGGGGACUGCGUCGGGGAUCAAGGGGGCUUGUGGCAGACCUGCGGGGUGUGAGGUCUGGACCCGAGCAAGCACAGCCCUGAUUGUGGUGUUCAUUAUUCCUGAACUAACGUAAUAAUUAUAGCACCACCGACACAGAUGUCCAUGAGUAGUGACCAUGAACUGGCACGGAGAAUAACCAUUAGUUUCAGUGUUUGAAGGCUUUGCAUGUGCCAGGCAUCAUGCCAGAUGCCAUUUCUGAGUUGUCUCCUUAAUCCUCCAGUCUUACGAGGAAAGUACGGACAGUUUUGUUUUCAAAGAGGAAACUGCACUGAGAGAGCCUAAGUGACUAGUUCAAGGUCAUGCAUCAGGUAAAGCAGAGGCUGGGGUUGGAUCCUGCUAUGUCCACUCCAUGGAUUACACACUGGAUGUACGUACCAUUCAUUAGCUGGGAGCCACGUUCCCUCUCUGGGCUUCCUCUGACUCUCCAGCAGAAUGCUUUAAUCCUGAUUAUGUCACAGGGUAGUGGUUAGAACUAAUUGAAUAAGGGAUGUGACAAGUAUUUUUAAGGUCGCUCAUGAUUCAAUCAGCCACGAUUUAUCCUGGUCCCCCUCGUGGGAUCUAAACUCUAGCCUCUAGCAUGGAGGGGGGGGGGUCGGUUGGGAGACACACAAUAAACCCAUCAAUGAAUGAACAAGCAUGGGGAUUUCUCAUAAUGCUUGGCGCCCUGAGUAAAAUAAGCAAGGUGAUGGGACUCUUUCUGCUUCACAGGGGUGGGUCAGAGGGGCCAUCUGAGCAGGUGACAUUUGGAGUUGGAGCCUUUUGAUGUAAAGAGCCAACCAACCUAAGGAACGUUACCUGUGAGGGGUAUGGAGGAAGGUCUUGCUGGUGGCCUGAGCACUAUAAGUGGGGGGGAGAACAGUGUGAGAGGGAGACAGAGGUCAGGCAGACGCUGGCAGAUGGAGUCCUGUGAGCCCUGGCAGAGAGUUUGGAUCUUACUCGCAGGGCAAUGGGAACCUGGCAAUGGGAACACUAGUUUGAUGGCUUGAUGAUGUGGGGCCAACAUUUUCCCACUCUCCAACCUGUCCCUGCUGGUUGUAAGUGGCUGUGGCCACUCUAGGCAUCAUAUGUGUAUAUGAGGCCAAUUCUGCUUCUCACUGAUCAGAAUGGCUCUUAGCUGCAAGGGAGGCUGGAAAAGGGAGUCAGGUAUAGGAAUGAGCUUCUCUGGCCCAGGAGUGGAGGCAGGAAGGAGACCUGGGGCUGGAGACGGGAUGUGGAUUAGACAGCCAGGUCUGCCCCAGGGGUGCUUCACCACCGCACAGGGCCAGGGGAUGCUCUGGCCUGGGCCUGAGGUUCUGCAUCUCAGACGAGCUCUCCAGAGAGGCCGAUGUGGCUGGUCUGCCACCUGUACUCCCAGAAGCAUGCUUGGACACCACUGGAGAGUUCUAAAUAAGAAAGUGGUUACCUCAUUUUUGUGGUUCUAUGGAGAAUACAGUACAGGGGACAAGAGAGGACAUUGGGGGGCUAGUUAAGAAGCCAAAAAUCAUGGUCACUUGGGUUAAUGUGGUGGCAGGGGAGAUGAUGCUGGUGGUGGUUAACGAAGCUGACUAGUAUCCAUGAGGACUCGUGUUCCAUCCCUGACCUCACUCAGUGGCUUAAGGAUCCAGUGUUGCUGUGAGCCGUGGUAUGGGUCGCCGACGUGGCUCAGAUCCUGCGCUGCUGUCAUCAAGGGGUAGGGCAGCAGCUAUGGCUCUGAUGAGACCCCUAGCCUGGGAACCUCCAUCCAUAUGCCAUGGGUGCAGCCCUAAAAAAAAUAAAAAUAAAAAAGACAAAAAAACAAAAAAAAAGAACGACUUCUGGCAGUUACUAAGAUGGGGAAGAAGGUGUAGGUACUCUACAAAUGUCAGGUAGUAUCAUUAUUUUAUUCAGAAUUGUUUUAAGGAGUUAUCGGCUGUGAAACUGCUAACAAAGGCACCAAAAAGUCCCUUUUGUAAGUCACACAUCUAGGGCCGGGGAACCCAGUUUUUAUAUUCCUACAGUAACUGCCUGAUUUAAAUCAGAACUUGGCAAACAGUGGCCCACAGACCGAAUCCAGCCCACCACCUGGCCUUAUAUAGCCCAAGAGCUGAGAAUGGGUUUCACAGUUUUAAAUGCAAGUGUGAAAAAAAGACCAUGUAGCCCUUUAGCGGACAGUUGCUCAGUUUUGCCUCUUGGCUCACAUGGCCUAAAAUAUUUACUGUCUGGCCCUUUACAGAAAAAAGUUUGCCGACCCCUGGCCUAAAUUAGGUGGUUUGGCUCAGACUGAAGAAAUGCACUCAGUAGCAAUAAAAAACCCAAACAAAGCUGAAUCCCCCCUCGCCACGGCUGACCUAUUUCUGCAGGUUUUUCUCUUUCCCACGAGUAUGGGCCGAUUAUACACACAGUGGCCACACCACCCACCCCAAGUUCCGCCCUCUGCAGGUCACUGCAGUCACCAGCCCCCGUCAGUUGUGACCGUGAAACUGACGGAUGCCAGUGCAGCACUGUUUAUCAGGAUCCAGUGAUUUAUUUUAGCAUCUAAAUUUUAAAUGGUGUCUAUUUUCCCCAGGAAGCUGUCUGGUUUAGAAAAUUGCCUAUAAUAAAUGCAUGCAAUAAAUCCAUUAUUUUGAACCUAAAGAAAGGUAUUCAAGUCUGAUAAGGGAAAAGCAGUUUCUCCUCAUCGUCACUAAAUACACGUUGUGUAUGUAAAUAAUUAAAAACAAUGGUUCGAAUGGGUGCUAAAUUAUCAGCUUUCCAAAGUGUAGCCACGGCUCUUAUUUUUCUAAUUAAUCAUGUUUAAAAAAAAAAAAAAAAA